rnacentral:rRNA from 1 species
UCUGGCUCAGGAUGAACGCUGGCGGCGUGCCUAAUACAUGCAAGUCGAGCGCAGGAAGCCGUCUGAACCCUUCGGGGGGACGACGGUGGACAUGAGCGGCGGACGGGUGAGUAACACGUAAAGAACNCUGCCCAUAGGUCUGGGAUAACCACGAGAAAUCGGGGCUAAUACCGGAUGUCGUCAUCGGACCGCAUGGUCCGCUGAUGAAAGGCGCUCCGGCGUCGCCCAUGGAUGGCUUUGCGGUGCAUUAGCUAGUUGGUGGGGUAACGGCCCACCAAGGCGACGAUGCAUAGCCGACCUGCNGAGGGUGAUCGGCCACACUGGGACUGAGACACGGCCCAGACUCCUACGGGAGGCAGCAGUAGGGAAUCUUCCACAAUGGACGAAAGUCUGAUGGAGCAACGCCGCGUGAACGAUGAAGGCUUUCGGGUCGUAAAGUUCUGUUGUAAGGGAAG